rnacentral:lncRNA from 1 species
UGUGAUCUUGAAUAGCUACUGGAUCAUCAAAAGAUUUAAACCAUAACGAAUUGAAGCCAAGGAUAGAUGAAGCUUUUUUUUUUUCACCAUACAAUGAAAGAAAGUAGUAUUUUUAUCCCACAACGACAACCAGCGAAACAGAGACUUAUCUUCUAGAUUAAGAAAUUUUUUGUUUGCUAAUUCUUUCAUGUUUUAAAAGAUUUCUUAAUAACUCGUCUCGGUUUAGAUUAUACGAGCCAAAAUACUAACAGAUGUCCAUCGAAAUUUCAUUCAAGGAAUGAUUAAAUAAAGGCAAUGGCAUGGUAAAGAUUAAAUACCCUAAUUUCAAACUUUGGUAAUGCAUAGCUCAAUUUCGUUUUUUUUCUUUCCAAAGACCAGACUACGAGAACAGUCAACACCAACAUCCUAUUCGUGUAGCUAUUAGCACCUGACCCGCUACUUUGGCGAGCCACCAAACCACCACACCAUCAUGUCCCAUCCCCUCUCUACCACUCAUUAUUUCUCUCAUCUUUAUCUCUUGACAUGCUUUUUAGCCAAAAUGGUUCUUGAGAUUUGCAUAACACAUCACUUUGAUCCCUGAGAUUGAAAAUCAAUAGAAAUUGGCCUUGAGAUUGUCUACCAUCCAUUAUUUUGGUCAUUCUGUUAAAAACUCCGUUAAGUGUCCCGGAGGUCUUGGCCGUAAGUUUGGGCAAUUUUCAAAGCUUUGUAACUCAAUGGUUUCUUAACCAAAUUCGACCCAUAAUAUAUCAAAAUGAAGAUAGGAAAGUGUAGAGAAAAAUUAUACCAUUUGAAAGCCUAAUGGUCGCCGAAGAUGACCGAAAAAUAGCCUGAAAGGUGACUGGUCUGUGGGAAAACUGGAAAACUCUCCGGCAACUGGGUAAACUUUAAACGUUCAUAACUUCUUCAAUACUCAACAAAAUUGAGUAAUUCAAAAACGAAAAUCAUAUAUCUCUACGAGACGAAGAGAAUGGUAUCUUUCUCGACUACUAACUUGACACGCCCCGAUCCCGAUAUUCCCUGAAUACCAGGAUAGGCAUGUUCUGGCCGACACCCGAAGGUGACGAAAGCCAUUUAUUCAAUGCAAAUGCUGAGAACAAGGAAUAGAUAAGGUUUAUAAAUGUAAAAGAAUAAAGAAUAUGCAUUUAAGGAACGUGUUCAGAGCAUACAACUAACCAGAAUACUAAAAGAAAUAAUAUAAAAUUGAAUGAAGAAAGGAGUAGGUCCUACACCAAGAGGACUCGAAGAUGCCGCUGCGGAAGUGCCUUGACGUUGGGAUUGUAUGCCUUGAUUCUAAGUCCUAAAUGGGGGCGCAAAACAAAGGUGAGUGGACCACGUUCAUAUAUACAGUAAUAAUAAAACAGUUAUAAAGAUACUAACCCCCACAAUUUAUAUACAGAAAACUACUAGCAUAAUAAGUGAUAGGUUUACUAAAAACC